rnacentral:misc_RNA from 1 species
AAGUCGUAACAAGGUUUCCGUAGGUGAACCUGCGGAAGGAUCAUUACUGCUUGCUCACGGCUUCGCUUGGGCAACCGAGUGAGGCCAGGCAUGCCACCCUUGUCUAUGUAUACCUGUUGUUAUUCCCUCGGUAGGGUGACCUGCCGCUGGGAUCACAUUAACUCUUGUAUGAAGCAUACAAUUUCUGAAUCAUAAACAAAUCAUUACAACUUUCAACAAUGGAUCUCUUGGUUCUG